AAGACCCGAUGUAACUGGCGACAAGUGGAACCAACCACAAUGGAGCAUCGGGACAUACGGCCGGUCGCCUGGGCAAAGAGC
rnacentral:ncRNA from 2 species